rnacentral:rRNA from 1 species
CGCGCAGGCGGUCGUUCAAGUCGGAUGUGAAAGCCCCCGGCUCAACUGGGGAGGGUCAUUCGAUACUGAUCGACUCGAAGGCAGGAGAGGGAAGCGGAAUUCCCGGUGUAGUGGUGAAAUGCGUAGAUAUCGGGAGGAACACCAGUGGCGAAGGCGGCUUCCUGGCCUGUUCUUGACGCUGAGGCGCGAAAGCUAGGGGAGCAAACG